UCACCCCUCAAGCUCAGCUUGGUGUUGAGGCCUGCUGUGAAGGCAGCCUCUAAAAUCAGUGGCAGUGCUGUCAGGCUCUAAGCGUAGUAAACUUCAUCGCUAUAGACACCGGAUGGACACUCGCCAGAACCCCCCAUCUUUUAAU
rnacentral:misc_RNA from 1 species